CCUACGGGGGGCAGCAGUGGGGAAUAUUGGACAAUGGGGGGAACCCUGAUCCAGCCAUGCCGCGUGUGUGAAGAAGGCCCUCGGGUUGUAAAGCACUUUCAGUGAGGAAGAACGCCUGGUGGUUAAUACCCAUCAGGAAAGACAUCACUCACAGAAGAAGCACCGGCUAACUCCGUGCCAGCAGCCGCGGUAAUACGGAGGGUGCGAGCGUUAAUCGGAAUUACUGGGCGUAAAGCGCGCGUAGGUGGCUUGAUAAGCCGGUUGUGAAAGCCCCGGGCUCAACCUGGGAACGGCAUCCGGAACUGUCAAGCUAGAGUGCAGGAGAGGAAGGUAGAAUUCCCGGUGUAGCGGGGAAAUGCGUAGAGAUCGGGAGGAAUACCAGUGGCGAAGGCGGCCUUCUGGACUGACACUGACACUGAGGUGCGAAAGCGUGGGUAGCAAACAGGAUUAGAUACCCGGGUAGUC
rnacentral:rRNA from 1 species